AGUGAACGCUGGCGGUAGGCCUAACACAUGCAAGUCGAACGGCAACACAGUAAGAGCUUGCUCUUACGGGUGGCGAGUGGCGGACGGGUGAGGAAUACAUCGGAAUCUACUUUUUCGUGGGGGAUAACGUAGGGACACUUCCGCUAAUACCGCAUACGACCUACGGGUUAAAGCAGUGGAUCUUCGGACCUUGCGCGAUUGAAUUAGCCGAUGUCGGAUUAGCUAGUUGGCGGGGUAAAGGCCCACCAAGGCGACGAUCCGUAGCUGGUCUGAGAGGAUGAUCAGCCACACUGGAACUGAGACACGGUCCAGACUCCUACGGGAGGCAGCAGUGGGGAAUAUUGGACAAUGGGCGCAAGCCUGAUCCAGCAAUACCGCGUGGGUGAAGAAGGCCUUCGGGUUGUAAAGCCCUUUUGUUGGGAAAGAAAAGCAGCGGGUUAAUCCAUGGCUGUUCUGACGGUACCUAAAGAAUAAGCACCGGCUAACUUCGUG
rnacentral:rRNA from 1 species